rnacentral:sRNA from 1 species
CACCGAGUCCGAGGCUCCGGACGUCAUUCGGAGCCUGGUGCAAAAGGGA